CCGCGAGGUGGAGCAAAUCCCUAAAAGCCAUCCCAGUUCGGAUUGCAGGCUGCAACCCGCCUGUAUGAAGUUGGAAUCGCUAGUAAUCGCGGAUCAGCAUGCCGCGGUGAAUACGUUCCCGGGCCUUGUACACACCGCCCGUCACACCAUGAGAGUCGGGAACACCCGAAGUCCGUAGCCUAACCGCAAGGGGGGCGCGGCCGAAGGUGGGUUCGAUAAUUGGGGUGAAGUCGUAACAAGGUACC
rnacentral:rRNA from 1 species